UACGAAGGGGGCUAGCGUUGUUCGGAAUUACUGGGCGUAAAGCGCACGUAGGCGGAAUGUUAAGUCAGGGGUGAAAUCCCGGGGCUCAACCCCGGAACUGCCUUUGAUACUGGCAUUCUCGAGUCCGGAAGAGGUGAGUGGAAUUCCGAGUGUAGAGGUGAAAUUCGUAGAUAUUAGGAAGAACACCGGUGGCGAAGGCGGCCCACUGGAUCGGUACUGACGCUGAGGUGCGAAAGCGUGGGGAGCAAACAGG
rnacentral:rRNA from 1 species